GCCGCUGCCMGGCCCCCCUGGCGCCUCUCACUCCACCUCUAACCCCUGGUCCCUCAAAGGAGUAGAGGCUCUGGCGCUGGUGGACCCUGCCGCUAGGAGAACCGUGGGGGUGGCCUGGAUGGCGUCUUUUCUACUCGACAGCCAUUCAUGAACUAGACUGGGAUCCAGCCCCCAGCUGACUCAUGGCUAGGGUGGGACCAUCUCCUGAAAACCAGCCACUGAGACAAGCGCUCUUUAGGUGGAGUCUUGUUUACCACGAAGACUUCCAUGCCCCCUGGUGGUCAUAAAAGGAAAAGGAGAGCAACCUUGUCUUUCUUGUUCACUGAUGUGGAAUCUGACCUGAACAGAGGACCAAGACGUACUAGACACUCAGUAAAUGUUUACUAAACUUAUUAAAUGAACCUUCUUAAAAUAUGGUUCUCACCUUUCCAUUGUGUUCUCAUUACCAAGAGAGAGUCCAUACUCUUCUUGGAAUCGCAUUCAAGG